UGGCUUCUUUCUAGGUGGUGGUGUUCUACUCUGAGGACAUCUUCAGGAGCAGACCUCUUAAGGAAGCAAAUAUGGCAAAUCUGAGUGUGGAACCCUUGUCACCUGACUAUCUUUCCCAUUCAGGAUGGAUGGUGCUUUCAGAUGUAAAAGCCUGGCACGCAAAUCUCUGCUGCAGUCUCGAGGAAACUCAGGGCAUUUUGAUUUUGAUGUAUGUAAUGUCUGGCUCUGGACCUUAGAAACAUCGAAUCCUUUGAACCUGCCAUGAAGUAACUUACCUUCUUUCUGAAUAUAAAGGAGAACAAGAGUUUAUUAUACCGGCACAUGCAAUAUAGUGUUUUU